AUUGAACGCUGGCGGCAUGCCUUACACAUGCAAGUCGAACGGUAACAGGUUAAGCUGACGAGUGGCGAACGGGUGAGUAAUGUAUCGGAACGUGCCCAGUCGUGGGGGAUAACUACUCGAAAGAGUGGCUAAUACCGCAUACGACCUGAGGGUGAAAGCGGGGGACCGUAAGGCCUCGCGCGAUUGGAGCGGCCGAUAUCAGAUUAGCUAGUUGGUGGGGUAAAAGCCCACCAAGGCGACGAUCUGUAGCUGGUCUGAGAGGACGACCAGCCACACUGGGACUGAGACACGGCCCAGACUCCUACGGGAGGCAGCAGUGGGGAAUUUUGGACAAUGGGCGAAAGCCUGAUCCAGCAAUGCCGCGUGCAGGAUGAAGGCCUUCGGGUUGUAAACUGCUUUUGUACGGAACGAAAAGCCCUGGGUUAAUACCCUGGGGUCAUGACGGUACCGUAAGAAUAAGCACCGGCUAACUACGUGCCAGCCGCCGCAGUAACAC
rnacentral:rRNA from 1 species